CAGUCGCCGCGGUAACACGAACCGUGCGAACGUUAUUCGGAAUUACUGGGCUUAAAGCGCGUGUAGGCGGGUCGGCACGUCGGUCGCUGAAAUCCCCCGGCUCAACCGGGGAAGUGGCGCCGAUACGGCCGGCCUGGAGGGGGGUAGGGGGGCCUGGAACUUCCGGUGGAGCGGUGAAAUGCGUUGAGAUCGGAAGGAACGCCCGUGGCGAAAGCGAGGCCCUGGACCCUUUCUGACGCUGAGACGCGAAAGCCAGGGGAGCAAACGGGAUUAGAUACCCCCGUAGUCCCUGUCUCUUAUA
rnacentral:rRNA from 1 species